rnacentral:rRNA from 1 species
UACGUAGGGGGCAAGCGUUGUCCGGAUUUAUUGGGCGUAAAGAGCGUGUAGGCGGCUUUACAGGUCCGUUGUGAAAACUCGAGGCUCAACCUCGAGACGCCGGUGGAAACCGUAAGGCUAGAGUCCGGAAGAGGAGAGUGGAAUUCCUGGUGUAGCGGUGAAAUGCGCAGAUAUCAGGAGGAACACCCGUGGCGAAAGCGGCUCUCUGGGACGGUACUGACGUUGAGACGCGAAAGCCAGGGGAGCAAACGGG